AUGGACUUAGAAAAUGAUGUGGUUUGCUAAUGUAAAUAACAUAGAUGUAUGAUAAAUGAUAUGUGUUAGUUCAAUUUUAUUAAUGGAUAAUGAUGUGAUGGCGGGAUAAUGUAUUAGUGGGAUGAUUUAGUGGAUGUUGAUGUGGACACUUUUGUAUGGUAAGAGAAUUGGUUAGUGGGAUGCUCUAGUGGAUGAUGAUGUGGAUGCUUUGCAUGUCAAGAAAUUUAGCUAGUGGGGUUUAUCUAUAUAAGAGAUAUAGAUAGAUUAAGGAUAUUUCAUCGCCCUUCUCUCCUCUUCUAACCCAGAAAUAAAUAUUUUAUUCAGUCCGGUGUCAACUAGCAAAUUGUAAAAUAAUGAGUGUCCAUCAACAAAUCAUCAAAUUUUACAUAUCCGCUAGCAAAGAUGGUUACUUAAAUGAUCUUUUUGCUUAAAAACCACUUGUUGGAUCAUUUUAUUAUACAACAUAUUCCUCGCGCCAGAGUCCAAAUGAACUAGUGGGAGUAAAAAUUCGGUCGACAGAAAAAAAAAAAUACGGAACGGGACUUAUUCGCCGCGUACCCCGACGUCCCAAUCUCCGGCAGGCCACCUGUCAGUCGGAACGGAAGGAACCGACGCGCGCGGAGCAGCAGGAAAAGGAAGCACGCAGGCAGAGACGCCCACGCCCUCACGCGCUGCUGCCUGCCGCCGCCCGGCCGCCUCAACGUCCCACGGACUCCCCACCACAGUGACGAGUAGUGAAGCGAGUCGGAUCCCAAAUCACCAUCCAUCGCCGAACCGAAAGCAAACCCCACAACGCCACCGCCACCACCACUCGCCUGCUCUCACCCACCGACCAGCGCCGCGCCCGCGCACCUCCGCCGCCGGAUCUCCACCAUGCAGCAGCCCUCCUCCUCGUCCUCCUCCGCCGGGCACCCGCCCGACCACCCCAACCCCAACUCCAAGCCCCCAGCCGGCGCCCCGCCGCCCCCCGCCAUGGGGUACCCAGCCAACCCCGCCCCCAACGGGAACCCCAUCCCCGCCGCCGCCGCCUACUACGCCGCCGCGCCACCCCCCGCCGCCGCCGCCAACGGCACGGCCUUCGGCGUCGCGUACCCCUACCCCGCCCCACCUCACCACCACCCGCCACCGCCGCACCACCACUACCCGUACCCUCCACCUCCUCCUCCGCCCCACCACCACCACCACUACGCCGCGGCCCACCCGCCACCUCCCCCCACGUGCCUGCGCCGCCUGCUCGCGGCCGUCGUGGGCGCGUUCCUCCUCCUCGGCGCGGCCACCUUCAUCGUCUGGCUGCUCCUCCGCCCUCGGGCCCCGGCCUUCUCGCUCACCUCCCUCGCGCUCUCCCGCGUCGCCUACUCCCGCGCCAACUCCUCCCUCUCGGCCUCCUUCGACGCCGCGCUCCUCGCCGCCAACCCGAACGCCAAGCUCUCCGUCGCCUACUUCUCGCCGCUCGCCUCAGUCUCCUUCGCGCCUUCCUCCCCGCUCGCCGUCGCCUCGCUGCCGCCCUUCGGACAGGCGCCUGGCAACACCACCACGCUCGCCUUCCGCCUCGUCGUCGAGGACGCCUACGUUGGCCCCGACGACGCCGCGCCGCUCAAGACUGGUGAUGGCGGCGACGUUGAUGUUCAGGUCAGGCUCAUGGCUGUGGCUGUCUUCGACAGAGGGGGCUGGCGCACCAGGCGCAGGGUCAUGAGGGUUAUGUGCGAUGGCGUCAAGGUGGUUUUCCGCGGGAAGAAUUCCACUGAGGCCGCCUUCAAUGGGCCGCCAAGGAGGUGUGAUGUCGUGUUGUGAAGAGUGAAAUUAAAGCAAAAGACCGCACAGCACCAGGUUGGCAACAGGUGAUACCAAAUAUGCCAAGAGCCUAGUUGGGAUUAGGCAUUUGGCAGUUUGGCUCCUAGCACCUAGGCAGGGCGAAUUUUGAAGGAGUUGAGGACCAUCAUACCGGGUUUGCUGACCACUCUGGAUGCUGAUCGGGGGAGACUUAUUCUAUAGGCACAAGAAGCUAACUGGUGCAGCGGGGGCAUUUGUCGGCACUGAUCUGAUGAGCAGUAUUCCAGCUGGGUAACCAUGCUUUUUACCUGGCAAGUAAUAGAGUAGCAAGUGAGAAGAGAAAUCUGAAAUGAUUCAUGCUUAUAAUGUGAGUGUCUGUAUGAAUGAUAGCUUCAACAGAAAUGGUUGUGAAAGUUGUGGCAAGAAUGAUUGUGCAUGCAUGGUGGUUAACCGGUUGUCUGUGCCUGUGCGUGCUAUGGAGCCUCGUGAAACGUUGUACAUUGAAUCAGCGCUUGAAAUCAAGCUGGGGUGGCUGAAUGCUGAAACCUAUGACAUCAACAUGCCAUGUGUGAUGUGUUCACAGACAUGCUUGGUUGAUGGUUUGCAGUGCUGUACCAGUGUCUCGUAGUUCAUGUGUUAAUCUGGCUACUAAUCAUUGUGUAUCCAUCCA